rnacentral:rRNA from 1 species
CCUACGGGUGGCAGCAGUGAGGAAUAUUGGUCAAUGGACGAGAGUCUGAACCAACCAAGUAGCGUGAAGGAUGACUGCCCUAUGGGUUGUAAACUUCUUUUAUAUGGGAAUAAAAUGUUCCACGUGUGGGAUUUUGUAUGUACCAUAUGAAUAAGGAUCGGCUAACUCCGUGCCAGCAGCCGCGGUAAUACGGAGGAUCCGAGCGUUAUCCGGAUUUAUUGGGUUUAAAGGGAGAGUAGGUGGAUUGUUAAGUCAGUUGUGAAAGUUUGCGGCUCAACCGUAAAAUUGCAGUUGAAACUGGCAGUCUUGAGUACAGGAGAGGUGGGCGGAAUGCGUGGUGUAGCGGUGAAAUGCUUAGAUAUCACGAAGAACUCCGAUUGCGAAGGCAGUUCACUGGACUGCAACUGACACUGAGGCUCGAAAGUGUGGGUAUCAAACAGGAUUAGAUACCCUUGUAGUC